UCUGUGAUUUUUUUAAAUUUUAUAAACAUUCUUAUAGUUUGCUUGAAAUAAAUAUAAGUUAUAUAUACUUAAUCAUCUGUAGAAUUUUUUUAUUAAUGAAAAAAAAAUUAGCUUAACUGAUUAAUCAAUAUUUAGGUCACAAGGCUUUUUACCCUGAUGAUCGAAGCUUGUCUAGAAAUUGCUUCAGAUUACUUUUAAGCAAAUAGAACAGUUUUGAACAUUCAAAAGGUCCCAAGUACAUGUAAAUAUUAUUAAUGACACACAUUUUUGAUGACCAACAAUGUAUGAAGAAAUUUUCAAAGAACAUAAAAAUAAAAAACACAAAAAAAAUCACAUUAUAAAUCGAACACUGUUUCUGUUAGCGCUUUCACUGCAUCCCUUACAGUUCAUCAGACAGAAUUGUUAUCGUUACUAGUAACAACUUGUGAUGUUACCUAAUAGUAACGUCAUGUGGUAGUUUGUAUAUAUUACGGAAUCUUAUUCACAGACCGAAUUUCACUUCCUAUUAAAAGUCGGCUUAUACAGUUAAAUAAAAUAGC
rnacentral:lncRNA from 1 species